GUGCCUCGCAAGAGGAAUUCGGUGACAGGUGCUGCAUGGCUGUCGUCAGCUCGUGUCGUGAGAUGUUGGGUUAAGUCCCGCAACGAGCGCAACCCUUGUCUUUAGUUGCCAUCAUUAAGUUGGGCACUCUAAAGAGACUGCCGGUGUCAAAACCGGAGGAAGGUGGGGAUGACGUCAAGUCCUCAUGGCCUUUAUGACCAGGGCUACACACGUACUACAAUGGCAGGUACAAAGGGCAGCCACUUAGCGAUAAGGAGCGAAUCCCGUAAAACCUGUCUCAGUCCGGAUUGGAGUCUGCAACUCGACUCCAUGAAGUUGGAAUCGCUAGUAAUCGCAGAUCAGCACGCUGCGGUCGAAUACGUUCCCGGGCCUU
rnacentral:rRNA from 1 species